GGCGCCAUAGCCAAGUGGUAAGGCAGAGGUCUGCAAAACUUUUAUCACCGGUUCAAAUCCGGUUGGCGCCUCCA
rnacentral:tRNA from 1 species